rnacentral:rRNA from 1 species
UUGGAGGGCAAGUCUGGUGCCAGCAGCCGCGGUAAUUCCAGCUCCAAUAGCGUAUAUUAAAGUUGUUGCAGUUAAAAAGCUCGUAGUUGAAUUUCGGGAUCAAGGAAUCGGUCAUGCCUCGGUAUGUACUGGUUUUAUUGGUUCUCACCUUCUAAAGAACCAUAAUGUCAUUUAUUUGGUGUUAUGGGGAAUUAGGACUGUUACCUUGAAAAAAUUAGAGUGUUUAAAGCAAGCUUACGCUUGAAUACAUUAGCAUGGAAUAAUGAAAUAGGACAUCCGAUUCUAUUUUGUUGGUUUCUAGGAUCGAUGUAAUGAUUAAUAGGGAUAGUUGGGGGCAUUAGUAUUCAAUUGUCAGAGGCGAAAUUCUUGGAUUUAUUGAAGACUAACUACUGCGAAAGCAUUUGCCAAGGAUGUUUUCAUUAAUCAAGAACGAAAGUUAGGGGAUCGAAGACGAUCAGAUACCGUCGUAGUCUUAACCAUAAACUAUGCCGACUAGGGAUCGGAUGAUGUUUAUUUUUUAGUGACUCAUUCGGCGCCUUACGGGAAAC